rnacentral:tRNA from 1 species
CAGGCCUUGCCUUAUUAGUUUGGGAUUUCAUUUACACUGAGGUUUAUGUCGUGCAAUUCGACGUGGUCUGA